rnacentral:lncRNA from 1 species
GACCUUUAUUUUAUUUAUUUUGCUGCCAAGUUUAAUGUAAUUUAGUAGUUUAGAUGUUUACAUCUGAAAUUAAAGUAACACCGUGUACCUUGAUAUCUGAGGAAUAAAUAAUGUAUUUCCAUAACUUCACCAUGGAAUGUUUAUUAGGACAGUCAGAGUUAAGAGGAAUUGUGUUUGCUGGAACAAACACAAUUUGGCAAAGUUAAGAGAAACUCGUUUUCUAUUAGAUCAAAUCUAUGCAAAAUUUGGCAAAUAAAUGUUUAUUGUGAUUCUUCAUACCUUAUUUUUUAAAAUUCUGAUGACUUCACUCAGUGUUAACUUUCUAUGAAUUUUCUUUUUUCAAAGUUUCCAAAGAAAGUUGCUUUGUCAAUCCUGCUCUUACAGUCUGUUCUCAUAUCACAGAAUCCUUUUUGAAAAUCUAUAAAAAUAACAUUUUUAUGUUACUUUAAUGAUCUUUAAAAAAACCUUAACUUUUCAUUGUUAUAAUUAAUACCUUACGAUGGACAAGAUACAGAAUGUAUUUGUAAAGAAGACUAUAUCAGAAUGAUGAUUGUCACAUUAUUUGUAAUAGGAACAAUUCCAAAUAUUUGUUAAUUGUAUAUACAUAUAUUAAGUAAAAUGUAGCACAUUAAUAAGCUAGAAAAUAUAUAACAAUGAAAGUGAACAAACUACAGGUACUUGCAACAACAUUGAUGAAUCAUGCAAGAAUAAUGCUGAGAAAGAGGGUAGAUUCCACAUAUAAGUGUGGUCAUACAAUAUUUGUCUUUCUUUGUCAGACUCUUUUCACCUAUCUCAUAAACAACCAGAAGGAGAAAAAGCGAAGAUAUACAAAUGGCCAUAAACACAUAAAAAGAUGCCCAACAUUAUAAGCCAUUAAGGAAAUCCAAAUCAAAAUCGCAAGAUACCUGGAGAUCCUUAGUGGCCUAGCAGGUUAAGGGUCUGGCGUUGUCACUGCUGUGGCUCAGGUCACUUCUGCGGUGCUGGUUCAAUCUCUGGCCUAAAAACUUCUGCAUGCUGCAGGCAUGCCUCCCCCCAAACAAACGAACAAACAAACAAAAAAACCCACCACAAGAUACCUCUUCAUAAAAACUGGAGCGGCCAUAAGAAAUAUAUGGACAGUAACAAAUCUUUGUGAAUUGUGGGGAUAUUGAGACCUUAAACAUUGCUGGUGGAAGUGUAAAACAGUGCAGCUGCCAUGGAACACAGUUUGGCUGCACCUUAAAAAGUUAAAUCGAGAGUUAAUUUAUGAUCCACAAUUUCAGUCUUUGGUAUACACGUAAGAGAAUUGAAAUCAUAUAUUCACAUCAGACAUGUACAGGAAUGUUUCUAACAGUUCAACUCAGAAAAUCUGAAAAGUGGAGACAACCCUGAUGUCUAAUGGAUAAACAAAUGUGGCAUGUCCAUACAAGAAAAAGUACUUCAUAAGUGAAAAGUAAUGAAGUACUUAUGUAUGAUACAUGAUGGAUAAUCUUGAGAACAUUAUCCUACAUGAAAGCAGCCAGAAACAAGCAAACAAAAGUCACAUAGAGUAUGAUUUCAUUUCUAUUAAGUGUCCAGGUUAAAUCUACAGAGACCGAAAGUAGACAAGUGAUUGCUAAGGGAUUUGUCGAGCCAGAAAUUGGGAGUGGCUGCUAACAGGCAUAUGAUUUCUUCUGGGGGGUAGGGGGCAGUGAUAGAAAUAUUCUAGAAUUAACCAGUGAUAAUGAAUGCAUAGCAUUUGAAUACACUAAAAUACUUUGAAUUUUACAAUUUAAAAUCAUAAAUUUUAUGGUCUAUGAAUUACAUCUCAAUUAAAAACAUUAAACAAUGCAUAGUUCAUGAAUUUUCACAAAGACACUACUUGUGUAACAGCUCCUAAGUAAAAAAGAGUAGGCUAUCACCAAUAUCACCUAUCUCCUCUCGCAUUUUCUUUUAUAGUUUUACCAUCUGGACUUGCACAUCUAAAUUUUUUCCUGAUAUAUAUGGUAUUUUUGCCUCUACCCUCCUUUUAUUCAAUAUUAUGCUUGUGUAUUUCAUCAACAUUGUUGCAAGUACCUGUAGUUUGUUCACUUCCAUUGUUAUAUAUUUUUCUAGCUUAUUAACGUGCUGCAUUUUAUUUAAUAUGUGUACACACAAUUGAACAAAUAUUCAGAAUUUUCCCUAUUACAAAUAAUGCAACAGUCAUCAUUCUGGUAUAUGUUUCUCAAUGCACAUAUGUGCACAAUUUUAUUGAUGCACAUUUUAUUGGAUGCACAUGUUUUUAUCGGAGGCACCUAUGUAUGCAGUUCCUGAGGGGCAAUUGCUGGGUUAUGCGGUAUGCAUAUGCUCAACUUUAGUAGAUAAUGAUAAUCAAGUUUAUACCAUUACUAGCAAGUAGGAAGGGUUCAAUUGCUUCACUUCCUUGCUAUUGUCAACACUUUGAAUAGUCAGCAUCACUAGCUUAGUUAUCUCAGCUGCCAUAACAAAACACUGUAGGCUGGGUGGCUUAAACCAUAGACGUUUAUUUCUCAUAGUUCUGAAAGCCGAGUAGUCUGAGAUUAAAGUGCUGGCAAGGUACGUUUCACUUUGAGGCUUUUUCUCUUGACUUGUUAGCCAUAUCUCACUUUGUAUGCUUAAGAAAAGAGAGAAAGUGAGCAAGCUCUCUGAUUUCUCUGCUUAUAAAGUCACUAAUCCCAUCAUGAGGGCCCCAGACUCAUGACCUUGUACUGGAUGACCUCCCAAAGAUCUCAUCUCCAAAUACUAUCACAUUGGGGGUUAGGGUGUCAACACACGAACUGUGGGAAAGGGGCACAGAUAUUCAGUCCACAACAGCAACAUUUGGUAUUGUCAAUCUUUAGCCAUUCUCUCUGGCAUAUAGCAGUAUAAACUAACCUAAUAUCUAGUGGUACUUUGUGGUUCAUUUAAUUUGGAUUUGCCUGAUGACUUAUAAGUUUAAGGAUUUAUUCAUAUGUUUGACUCCUAUUUUGUAGAUUUCCUAUUCAUGCGGCUUUCCAAUUUUCUUUUUACUUGACAUAUACUGUUUUGAAAUAUAUUAAGAUUUAUAAGCACUGUGUUGGGUUUAAGUGUUGCAAAUAAGUUCUUACACUUUGUGGUUCACUCUUUACUGUCUGUUAUGGUGUAUUUUGUUGAGCAGAAGUUCCUAAAUAUAAUGUCAUCCAAUUUAUUGAUCUUUUAUGGUUAGUUUUUUGGUUAAGAAGUCCUUCCCUUCAUGGAGAUAAUAGUCACAUUUUUCUAUGUAUUAUAUUCUAGGUCAGUCUAGGAGUUUAAUUAUUAUGCCUUUCACCCUUGCAUAUACAAUAACAUCUAACCAGAAAUAAUUUUCAUGUAAAAUUUACAGUGGGAGUCAGAGUUCCCUUAUUUUUCUAUAUGGAAACAAAAGUUUGAGCCCAUCAUUGAAAAUGUGCUCUUUUUUUUUGCACCAUUCCACAGUGCCAAAUGGGUAAGUCGGGUACCCAUAUAUAUGUGUGUCUAUUUCUGGGAUCUUUAUUCUGUUUCUUGGGUCUAUUUGUCUAUCUUUAUGC